rnacentral:tRNA from 1 species
GGGCGAUUGGCUCAGCUGGUUAGAGCGCUACAUUCACAUUGUAGAGGUCAUAGGUCCGAAUCCUAUAUCGCCCACCA